AUGUGUAUUUUGUAUUUUUCCCAUAUUUCAACGACAGCCCAUAUUUUCUUUAACAACUGCAGACAACCCCAAAACCGAAUUACCGCGUCUCUUAGCAACGGCACUAUCUCCACGGCAACAUCAUCCUGAUCCGUCUGUCGAAAAGCUCAAUAGGAUAAUUCAAGCCACAAAAUCCUCACGCUGCGUCAACAGUGAAAAAUUAGAAGCUUUUCUGUCAGAAUUAAAUCUUAGAUAACAGAACCUCUGCAGUGGAGUAAAAUAUCGCAGCUUGUGAAUCAUUUCUGAGACGUGAGACAUGAGAAGUGACUCGUGGAGGGCUGAUAGACACGCGCGGAAGUGAACUACAGUACAAUGACAGAGUAAUGUCGUAGCGACAUCCAUUACCUCUUAUCUGUGCAAACUGCAUUGCUGAGCUAAAAGCUGGCCAGCGAAUGCUUGCGCCUACCGCCAGGAUGGACCCCGGUGUGCUCAUAUUUUUACUGUACGUGAUGAUCGCACACGAGCUGGUGUGUGGACUGAUGCAGUACAGGAGACAAGCAGCCAAGCCUCAUAAACGCCUAAUGUGGUGCUCCAGUUCUCGUGUCUGUCGUGGGACGUGGAGAGUCAGUAACCAGCCGGUGCGAACCGGUAGACGAGACUCAAAGAAAACUGGACGCAUUGUCAGGAAAGCAUGAUACGAAAGCCACUGUGGACAUAAAAUCCAUCCUCAUCCAUCCUGCACUGUGAUCAUUCAUUGAAGCUAUGCUGGACCGCUCACUGCUCUUCUUCAUUAUAUAGCGAUCGCAACUGUGAGGCUGCAAGUUAACAGUGUGAUUUCUUUUGCAGAACAGACUCAAAGAGCACCAUAAAAGUGACUUUCGAAAGCCAUAAGAUUCAGUUAUUUGCACAGACUGAUCGCUUUGCUUCGUAAGACCUCAUUGCAUCAUAAGGAGCCACAGGUAUUAAUUCUGUUUUACCUGUAUAUUGUUAUUUAUCAAGCUGUGGCAAAGAAACUGUUCAAGAAAUCGAUUAUGCAUCAAUUCUGAGAUUUUCAAAAUGCAUCGUCAUUCUUACCUAAAUGGAUUCAGAGCUUUGUUUUUAACAGCAGAUGGCGCUGUAUGCUUUACAAACAGCUGAAUUCUGCCUGUAUUCACCUUAUUCUCCGCGUACAAGCGGGCACAGCCAUGUCUUUUCUACUUUUCAUAUUGUUCUACUUUGUCUGUAUAGUCAUGCAAACACUUUUUUGUAGAGCAAGUAGUUUGACCUUUUUUUUGCUGUUCAUUACUUCUAGUUAUUUCUCCCAUAGGCUGAAUCGGAAGUUCUAAAACAAGCGCACUUCCACAUUGAAGAAUAAGGUCAAUACAAUCCCUUAUACCGUGCAUUCACACCGCCCUCCAUGGCGAGAGUGUCAUUGGCUUUGGUGGCCGUGCUAUUGGCACUACAAGUCUGCGAUGAUUCAAAACAUUUAUGUUUUCUAAGGCCCGCCCUCAAGAGGCUCUGAUAAGUUAGCUAACAUAAUGUGCUGUGAUUUGCAGAUCGGCUCUAGGUCACCAGUAAAAUGUCACCCCUCCUCAAGCAUGCGCUUUGAUUCUGCUGUGUAAAUAGUGUCCAUCAGAGUAGCUGUUAGCAGUAUCUGUUUAAGCCUUAAUCAGACAGAAAAUGAAAAGGAUGAACCUCAUG